UUUAGGGUGAUGAAUUCUUUGUUGUCUUCCAUUUUAAAGAGGGAAUUUUUUUUUGUCUUUGGUAACAUCGACACUUCUGAAGUGACAAAAAUAUAACACAAAACUACGUCGUUUUAAGUUACACCGUAUCUAAAUUUCCCCUUUUUCUCUCUCGCGCACAACACAGAAUGAUAUUUUCCCCAAACUAGGUCUUAUAUCUCGUCGGCUUCGAUCAGUUCUACGCAUGUGUUCUGCAGCUCUAGUAUCUCCGCCUCCUUAAUCGGUUCCUCUCUCCGGGGUUUGGGUUCUUUCGACAGUUGGGUUUCUGCAGUUGUAUUCGGGACCGAGGCAGUGGUGUGGUGAUAUUGGUAGUGGCGGAGGUGAAUUUCCGGUUGUGGGGGCGGUCCUUCUGGCCAUGGCUGCAGGUUGUUAGUGUGGACAGAAAUGGCUAAAGGAAGAGGAUAAAAUGAUGGACAAGAGGUGGAUAGACUUACCAAAUAGGAUGUCAAUGGAAUAUUUGAUGGAGAAAACAAUGUAAAAGCUUUGUUUCACCAAGGCCAGGCACACAUAGCUCUUAAUGACAUAAAUUGCUGUUGAAAGUUUCAAAAAGGCAUUGGUUUGGAGCCAAAUGAUGGUCCCCACAAAAUCCAAGGUAUCAGUGCCGUCCUUGCUAUUUUGGACGUCAACAUUCUUGAUGAAGUUGUUCCAAAUGACCUCAACAAUAAAGUAGGCGAGGGUAGCAGUGUUACAAAUGCUCACUCUCACCUCGAUACUCUUUAACCAUGCACAAUCAUUCGAAAAAAGAUAUUUCCGAACAACUAGUUACUGACGUGGUUGAUUUAAAAGUAACAGAAAAUGUUUCAACUGAUGGGAAAAAUGUUGAGAACCAGUUCUACACGAAACAGCGAAAGGGAAUUUACACAUUUGUUUGUGGAAGACGGAGAAAAGCACAACCCUUAAAAGAUAUGAUACUUGGCCUUCUUUGAGUUGUACAUUUUUAUUUUUUUUGUUUAUUGCCAUUUGAUUGUUGGUGAAUUUCUCUAUGCUCAUUAUGGAAUUGCAAUUGGUAUCCAACUUUAGUUUAAUGGUAGUAGCUAGCUCCUCC